UUCAUGCAUUUUGGAGACAGUGAGGGCCACUUCUGGCAUUAUCUGCCCCCAAAGCCUACGUGGCAGCAGACUCUGUGGUAAUUCAGUCUAUCUUCCUGUCCAGGUCCCAUGGAACUGGCCUGUUGGUUGUCUCACGAUCAUUUCUCACCUGCCAACACUCAUCACUGGCCCCUUGCAAGAGUUGUCUGUUCUAAGCUUUUCUUCCCGAAGGGACCUGUGGUCCAAGAUCUCAGAGACCACGACUGAGAUGACCCCCCAGCCCAGCACCAUGUGGCCCACGUUGGAACAGCAAGCUCAAGGUGAAACUCAGUAGAGUGCCAUGAAGGACUAAGCCAGCAGACCAUGUCUAUGACAACCACCACCCAGUGCCAGAUGACAGAUGGGACACUGCAUGCCUGAGAUGACCCCACUCAGCAGCAAUGGUGCUACUAAAAUGAGCAAAUAAGUAGUGAAGAGACUGAAGAGAAAAUGAAGCAUAAGGGAAGCACAGGGAAAAGAGGCAGAAAAAGGAAAGAAGUGAGGAACCACUUGAUGUGCGUAACCAGCAAUGCCACCUAAGGCCAUGCCAUGAUAAUGUCCUUUGCUGCCAACAGGGGCCAUGUCUGGGUCCUUGGACCAACAGAGGAGGAUGCAAGGGCAGAGGAUGGGUACAAAUGGACCGGAAGAUGAGUGUGAUGGUGCUUCAUGAUGUGAAGAAUCAAUAACAAGCUAAAAAGAAUCAGCCUCUGAAUAGUCAUUUAAAAGAUAUUUGACAAAUUUGAUGCUUCCUCAGUUUUUAAUAAUUUUAUCUUACUUUAUGCAAAUGACGUUGCUCAUCUAUUACAUUCUGCUUUUAGUAAGAUGAGUUACUUACUCCCCGAUGGUUUGUUGUUGAUGAAAAGCUGGCUGUACUGAGAGAUACCAAGAUAGCCGGUGUGUCUUACUUCCUGUCUGGUGCUAUGGUAAAACAUUGAAAAGGCAACCUGGAGAAGAAAGAGCUUAGUUGGCUUACACUGUCUGUUCACCAUACGUGAUGGCGUAAGUCAGCUGCAAACCCAGAGGCAGGAACCAUGGAGACCACUCCUUGAUUGACCGAGCCAGCUCAGUCAGUCCACAGGGCCUCAAUUAAGGGAGUGAGGGCUGAAAUAGAAAAAGUUAGACAAAAUUGUAACCUGACUCCAGCCAGUGCUGAUUCUGAAGCCGCUUUAUGUCUCUCCAGCCUGCUUUUAUCUCAUUCUAGGUACAUCCAAAAAUCAUGGUCAGUUCUUAGGUCACAGACAACGUAAUCAAGCGAAGCACUUAGGAGGCAGAGGCAGGUGGAUUUCUGAGUUCGAGGCCAGCCUGAUCUACA